GACAGAGGAUGCAAGCGUUAUCCGGAAUGAUUGGGCGUAAAGCGUCUGUAGGUGGCUUUUUAAGUCUGCCGUCAAAUCCCAGGGCUUAACCCUGGACAGGCGGUGGAAACUACCAAGCUGGAGUACGGUAGGGGCAGAGGGAAUUUCCGGUGGAGCGGUGAAAUGCGUAGAUAUUGGGAAGAACACCAGCGGCGAAAGCGCGUGACUGGGCCUGAGCUGACACUCAUGGACGAAAGCUAGGGGAGCGAAAGGG
rnacentral:rRNA from 1 species